CCCUUUAAUAAAUAUAAUUUUUUGAAUCAUUUGUGUCGUUAGUGUUUAACAGUUAUGAAUGGAAUGUCGAUCUCUUCUGUCCAAGAACUCCAGAAUCCUUCAGGUUUUACUGUUAAAAUUUGGUAAUUAUUAAUAAUCUAAUUAUUAAUCCAAAUUAAUAGUUGAACCAAGUUAAUGAGACUGAUUACAACAAAGUGACUAUCUUUUCCUACGAGACGUAGGUGGUGCCCUGAGGUUUUCUGAUGAAAUCAGAUCCAAAAUUCUUUAAUUAUCUUUGAUAAACAUGAAUUAUUACUGAUAGCCAAAUUCAUUAAGUUGAAAUCACAACAUUAUUGGUGCGGCUUGUGUGAGCCAGAAGAACCUUAAUGCUGUGAACCCCAACACCUGUUUAAAGGUCAAGUAUGUGGAGAAAUGCACCACACCCUCUUAUGAAACAAUAAUUGUUUUGUUCAAGUCAGUAAACCAGUAAACCUAUAAACCAAACAGAGUCUGAGUAAAACAAAAGCUGCAAGUCACACUGACUUGAGCAACCAGGAAACACAGAAGGGAUUUUCUUUCAAUCUCAACAACUGAAAUCUCUUUUUGACAACGUACAUGGUCAGUUCUAUUCUAUUCUAUUCUAUUCUAUUCUAUUCUAUUCUAUUCUAUUCUAUUCUAUUCUAUUCUAUUCCAUAUCUGCAAUAAUGCUCAAAUGAAAGACAAAGCUUCUAAUGUGUCAGUCUUAAAAAAAUGAAAGUCAUUCUUCACUGGGUUAAAAUAUCUGAUAGCAAACAUGCAUCAGUGAACAUUUACUUCAAACUGCUAAAUGUUCGCCUCCAUUAUAAGACCAGAGCACAAUUAAUCCUCUAGUUCUGUUACAAAAACGAGCUGUGCGGAUCAUCCACAAGGUGGGUUUUUUAGAACACACACAUCAUUUGUUUACUCAAUCAAAGUUGUUUAAAUUCAAUGAUCUCGUAAAAUAUAACACAUCAAUCAUUAUUUUUAAAGCUUUCAAUAAAUUAUUACCAACCAAUCUUCAACGCUUCUUUAUAAUUCGAGAGCAAACACAUGAUUUGAGAGGUUAUGCUAAUUUUACAUUACCCAAAGUUCGAACUACUCGUAAAAGAUUUUGUGUGUCUGUGUGUGGGGUGGAACUCUGGAACAGUUUGAACUUACAGCACAAGCAAUGCCAAAAUAUUAAUAGAUUUAAACUGUAUCAUAAACACCAGAUCUGGUCUAAAUAUAGGUACAGCAUGUUGUAACUCACCUUGUCAUUUACAGUUAUUGAUCACUGUGUUAUUCUGUACCAUAAUACGUUCUCCUUCUGUCGUUUUACAUGCCGGCCAUUUUCCAUGCUGGUUUAUUGUCUAUAUUAAUGUUCCAUUACCUUCAACUGUAUUCUGUUCUUUCACCUUGCUCAAUUUCUGGAAGCCUGUCCAUUCUAGUAUCUGUCCAGUUCUGCUAUUAGUCCAUUACCAUUGCUGGUAUUUGUCCAUUCUGGUAUUCUGUCCAUCACAAUUGCUGGUUUUUGUCAAUUACCAUUGCUGGUAUUGUCUAAUUGUUUGUCUAUUGUUUAUUAUGUUUUGUCUUGUAACAUAACUAUGCUGCUCAUAGUGUUUCCAUAGAUGAGCUUGGGGGUAUUAAAUAAGUUUUCUUCCUCCUACUCCCUUUUUCAGGCAUUCUAUGUUUAUGUUAUCAUAUUGGAAUUUUUUCAUUUUUUCAUUGUUAUAAAUCACCUGAAAUGAAUGAAUAAAAAAAAAAAUAAAUAAAUCAUGGAUGACGGAGGUCAUUGUGGGCAGUGAUAAGUUGGCGGUUGUAACUUUCCAUUACAAAAUAUUACGAAAUCAUCACUUUCUUUACUGAAAUACUUGGAAACUGCAAAAACACCUAAGUAGUCACAACAUUUACUUUAACUUCAGCUGCUUUUCGAAUUCAGUAAAAUUAUAUUUUCAUUUUCAUCGUAAAAACACUGCUCUUUACUGAUGUACUACAAUUUAACAUGUCAUUGGCAACAAUCUGAAUAUGACUUUUGAGAUGGAUUGCAUCUGAAAGUAGACAUCGUGUAACUUGGUGUUUGUGUGAAGCAGAUGUCUUAUCUCUUCAAUCCAUCGUCCCAAAUUCUGGAUGUCCUGGAUAAACUUGCCUUGUCAGUGGUUAAGUAGAAGCAAACAUACACUUUGGUAAAUACACUGAAUCAACUCUAUUUUUAAAUAAAAGUGGAAAGCAAUGAAAUGUACGCAGAAUUUUUCACUUUAUUUCUUGUGCUUUUUAAAAUAUAUCUUGAACUUGGUUUUGUAAUGAGAAUUGUGAAGGAAAUGUUAUUUGAACACACACACACCAACACAAAAUGUCUAUUUUCAAACGGCGUAUAUUGUGGGAAAGAAGGACUCAUAAGUUAAGAUUUGCCAGAAAUAUUGUAGAACAUUUAUAAAAUUUGAAAGAUAAAUUACACAUUACAAAACAAAAGGAAAGCUACAAAUGUAUCUAUGGUUCUAUGAAUCCCGGAUGACGGCCAGAGCGCUCUGUCACUCAGAAACUUUCUACUUCAUCCCUCCCUCCAGGAGGCGGUGUUAAAAGCACUGAAUUCAUAGUCAGGAGGAAACCCAGAGACCAAUCUCACUGAGAAGCCUCUGCAGAGCCAAGGACCACGGUGGAUGGGGAGUGGCGGCAUUCAUGCUCUUACAACCCAGAAAAAAAAGUGCUGGUGUUCCCCAGGAGGCAGCAGCAUAUAUGUCGUCUUUGAUUGGAGUGUGGGCACCGCUCCAGUGGGGUGACAGCACAGACCCGAUGGUAGAGAGAAGUUCGCCACCUGAUAAGAAUGGUGAAAGGUAUCCAGAAUUCAGUGGGAUAAACAGUGCUUGAAAAGGGCAGAGUCUCCAUCAGGGCCUCCAUAACAGCCCAAAAGCUGUUUGGAGGCACCAAUUCGUGUGGUACGGUCAAUAUAGCAUCCCAGGCCUCUGGCUGGUCACAAGAGUUCCUCCAGGUCUCCAGCAACCCUUGAUGGAGAGCCAUGUCAUGGCAGAGCAGGAUUACUAUUGCAACAACACAUCAUCAGUAGGGUCAAACUAACCUGUCUCACGACGGUCUAAACCCAGCUCACCUUCCCUAUUAGUGGGUGAACAAUCCAACGCCUGGUGAAUUCUGAUAGGAAGAGCCGACAUCGAAGGAUCAAAAAGCGACGUCACUAUGAACGCUUGGCCGCCACAACCCAGUUAUCCCUGUGGCAUUUUACAGGCUGAAUAGACUGUAGACCAGACACCACCUUUGUGAAAAGGGCAACGUUCGGUCUUAUGCUGCGUUCACACCGGAUGCGAGUAGCGCGGCGAGUGCGGCCGAUUUACAUAGAAAAUAUAUGGUUUUCGCGCGGUAAGGAAGCGGCGAGCGGUGACGCGGCGAGAAUUCAGCGAAUUGAGCGGCGGCCGCUCCGCCGCUCUACUCACGCGGAUCGCGCGGCGGCCGCGCAAACCGCUCUACUCGCGCCGCUCAAAGUUGGAAAAGCUGAACUUUUGAGGGAAUUCGCGAGCGGCGAACCAAUCACAUUGCCGCUCUAUAUGACGUCGUUUAUGACGAACCGGAGCACCCGCGAAACACCAGAAAUGGAUGAUAAACUGAUUACAGCGGUCUGCGCUCGCCCUGAGCUUUACGACCCUUCGUCGUAUUUUUAUCGGGACAGGAAUAAAAAGGAGCUUGCUUGGAGGAAGAUUAGUGAGGAGGUCGGGUCCCCGGGUAAGUUUUGUUCACUUUUUACGUGAGUGCGCCUUGUAAAUGUGUGUAGCUACUCAAAAUCUGGUUAGCACAAUGUUAGCUACAAUGCUACUGCUCGUUCUCCGUUCACUAGUCAAUGUGUGUUUAUUCAGCUGAAGUAUACAAAAAGCGGUGGAAAAACCUGAGGGACACGUACACCAAAGAGAGCAGGAAGGAGAAAGAGAGGAGGAGAAGCGGUGCAGCAGCAGAGUCAGCACAGAGGUGGAAGUACCUUGCUGUCCUGUCUUUCCUCGAGCCCUUCAUCACCCCCCGGGAAACAUCGGGCAACAUGUCCCAGGGAGGGGCCGAGGGGGGUCAGGCAGCAGGGUACAGCCCAGAGCCGCAGGAAGAAGCAGCAGCAGCAGCAGCAGGGCUGUCAGGUGCAGGUCGGUGGUAAUGACAAGGAAAAAGAGCAGAUAUGAAAUGGUAGAGAAAAAAAAUGCUUUGUCUGCCCAGUUUGCUGCCUUUUUUUUAAUAAUAAUUGUCGGAAUUAUCAUUAUUUCUGUCUUUAUUAUUAUUUUUAAUUCGUUAUUGAUGAUAUUGGUAGUAGUAUAACAGUAAUUUUAGUAAUUUAAGUAUAGAAGUGCACAUUGCAUGUGGCGUGAAAUCAUUUUAACUUUUUUCAUGACAGAAUCAGACACUGAGCCUGAUGCCCUGCCUGGCCCAGAGUCCCCCGCUGCUGCUGCUGCUUCCACCUCUGUGCUGACUGACCCCGCUGCUGCAGCUGCAGGCCCACCAAAGAAGAGGCAAAGAAGGAGGCCCCAGUUCUCUCCAGGGCCGUCCGAGUAUGAAUGCCGGAUCAUGGAGGAACUGAGGGCCAGCAGGGAGGCGCGAUUGUCUAGUCCAAUGACACCUGAUGACCACUUCCUGCUUUCUUUGGGGCCUCUCCUGCAAAAAGUGCCACCUCAUCUCAAAGACUUUGUAAAAUUUCAAAUUCACAAAUUACUUUAUGAGAACAGCACUGUAACGCUGAAUUUGGAACCAUUGGAGCCGUCAGAGUGAUUUUUCACUAAACGAGGUGACAUCUUUUGCAGGAGAGGAAAGACUUCUUUACGUGUCUCUCAUUUUUUCCACCGCACCUCCUCCAAGCAAGCUCCUUUUCAUUCCUGUCCCAUGUUUAAAUAUGUAAAUAGUUUUCUGUGUAAUAAUAAUUCAAAUUAAAUAUUCUUUUGUAUCAA